AUUGAACGCUGGCGGCAUGCCUUACACAUGCAAGUCGAACGGCAGCGGGGGAGAAGCUUGCUCUUCCUGCCGGCGAGUGGCGAACGGGUGAGUAAUACAUCGGAACGUGCCCGGUAGUGGGGGAUAGCUAGUCGAAAGAUUAGCUAAUACCGCAUACGACCUGAGGGUGAAAGCGGGGGACCGUAAGGCCUCAUGCUAUAGGAGCGGCCGAUGUCUGAUUAGCUAGUUGGUGGGGUAAAGGCCUACCAAGGCGACGAUCAGUAGCUGGUCUGAGAGGACGAUCAGCCACACUGGGACUGAGACACGGCCCAGACUCCUACGGGAGGCAGCAGUGGGGAAUUUUGGACAAUGGGCGAAAGCCUGAUCCAGCAAUGCCGCGUGUGUGAAGAAGGCCUUCGGGUUGUAAAGCACUUUUGUCCGGAAAGAAAUGGCUCUGGUUAAUACCUGGGGUCGAUGACGGUACCGGAAGAAUAAGGACCGGCUAACUACGUGCCAGCAGCCGCCGUAA
rnacentral:rRNA from 1 species